AUCCAACUGACGAGUCCCAAAUAGAGCGAAAUACGCGUUGUGGAU
rnacentral:hammerhead_ribozyme from 1 species